CUCUCUCUCUCUAUCCAUUCUCACCUCUCACUCUCUGUCUUUUUCUCCGCCACCAACCGAUUUGAGAUCGUCGAAGUGAAACCACACUAAGUCGUCGGAGUGAAGUGGUGUCAAUGUCUACGACCCAUCACCCCUCUCUAAUCAAAUGCAUAGCUCUCCUCCCUCUCCUGUAUCUAUAUCUACCUGCUCUGAUUGUAUCUGUCGAUUGUUGGAAAUCCAAUUCUCACACCCUCUCUCUCCACCGCCAACUGAUCUGAGAGUUUCGGAGUGAAACCACUCGAAGCGGUGGAAGUUAAGGGAUGUCGCUGUCGCGAUCCCGUCACCCCUCUCUAAUCCAACGACGUCGCUUUCCUUCCUCUCAUCUCCUCUUCUCUAUUGUAUCUAUUUUUGGAUUUGAUUUGUUGGUUUUUUAGGAGGCAACUUUCUUGGAUCUUGUUUCUAUUUCGAAUACUAAUUUGUUGGUUUUUUAGGAGGCA
rnacentral:lncRNA from 1 species